rnacentral:rRNA from 1 species
UACGUAGGAGGCAAGCGUUGUCCGGAGUUACUGGGCGUAAAGCGUGUGUAGGCGGUCGGAUGCGUCCGGUGUGAAAUCUCCCGGCUUACCUGGGAGGGGGCAUCGGAUACGGUCGGACUUGAGGGCAUCAGAGGCCAGUAGAACUCCCGGUGGACCAGUGAAAUGCGUAGAGAUCCGGAGGAACACCAAAGGCGAAGGCAGUGUCCUGGGGAGUACCUGACGCUCAGGUGCGAAAGCCAGGGGAGCGAACGGG